rnacentral:rRNA from 1 species
CCCUUAGAUGUCCUGGGCCGCACGCGCGCUACACUGACAUGUUCAACAAGCCUCCUAGUUCGACAGGAUUUGGGAAAUCUUUGAACGCAUGUCGUGAUAGGGAUAGAUCAUUGCAAUUAUUGAUCUUGAACGAGGAAUUCCUAGUAAACGCGAGUCAUCAGCUCGCAUUGAUUACGUCCCUGCCCUUUGUACACACCGCCCGUCGCUCCUACCGAUUGAAUGUUCCGGUGAGCUCUUCGGACUGCGCGGUCUGCAGUUUCUGCGUUCCGUGCGGAAAGUUGCGCAAACCUUAACAUUUAGAGGAAGGAGAAGUCGUAACA